rnacentral:rRNA from 1 species
CAUCUCAGUAGACUCGAAGGAAUAGACAUCACGAGAUCGAACGUAGUGGCGAGCGAAUCGGAGCAGCCUGCACGUUUUAGCAGUUGAGUUAUCAGAACGGUCUGGAAAGUCCGGCCAUAGCGGGUGAUAGCCCCGUAUGAAAAACUUGAUUGUGGAACUAGGCGUGCGACAAGUAGGGCGGGACACGUGUAAUCCUGUCUGAAGAUGGGGGGACCAUCCUCCAAGGCUAAAUACUCGUAAUCGACCGAUAGUGAACUAGUACCGUGAGGGAAAGGCGAAAAGAACCCCGGGAGGGGAGUGAAAUAGAUCCUGAAACCGCAUGCAUACAAAAAGUCGGAGCCCGCAAGGGUGACGGCGUACCUUUUGUAUAAUGGGUCAGCGACUUACAUUCAGUGGCAAGCUUAACCGAAUAGGGAAGGCGCAGGGAAACCGAGUCCGAAUAGGGC